GUGCGAAAUCCUGGCAUUAUACACGCGGAACGGAGAGAAUGCGAGCGAGCAAAAAAUUCAAUGUUCAACGAAACGAGGCAAAACUAAAGUGAAGGUUGGAGAGGGGGACAGGAAGGAAAAAAUACGAAUCUCGAGUCGUUGGGGUUUUUCAUUUUUUUCCUCCCUCUCUUCGAGGAAAACUUCGGGAUUCUAUAAUUUCCUAGAUCUAUGAUGGUCAGCUCAAUUGUAGAUUUUACUCAACAUUUUCAUAGUGAUCGAGGAUUCUUACGUGCUGAACAGAAUUAUAUAACUUAGGAAAUACCUAAUAAAUGUAUCAAUAACCAAAUAAUUAAAAUAACUUACUUGGAAUAUUUAUAUUUGAAGAUAAUUGCACAUGUGUCUGAACAGGUAAGUGGUUAACACGAGAUAAGAAUUUUUUAACACACAGUAAUCCUACUGUAAACGGAUUUUGCAUGUAAUACAGAACUUGUUACGAUACAAUAGAAAUUGAAACUGAGGCAAAUCUUGUAACUUUACUUACAUAAAAAUCCUAUAAUCAAUCCACUAAAAAAUGAUAUUACUAUCUUGUACACCAUAUGUUUAUACAUUUUUGUUUCUUCUUUUUCGAAAUGUCGAAGAAAUUCACAUUCGAUGGGUUUCAAAAAAAAUUUUAUUUUAAACAGGAUUAUCUUGUUGCCUACAUCCAUGCAGAGAAUGACAAGUUAUUCUUCUAUAGAGCUAAUGGAUACCUCAAGGUUACAUGUUAGUAUAAACAGUUAAAUACAUAAAUAUAAUCACUCCUGUGUAAAUAAGAUAUCUAAACAUACAUUAGAGUUUCAUUCAAAUUAAUCAGGAUAAUUAAGAUAUGUCAAUUCUAAUUUUGUUUAAAUUUAUUAUUUUAUGAUAUAGGUGACUUGAAGUAGAUAACAUAUCUAUUAUUUAUUUUUAAAAUGUAUAGUUAUAACUGUUCAAAUUUCAAUAUUUGAAAAUUC